UACGUAGGGUGCAAGCGUUGUCCGGAAUUAUUGGCGUAAAGAGCUAGCGUAGGCGGCUUGUCACGUCUGACUGUGAAAACUCGGGGCUCAACCCCGAGCCUGCAUGUGGAUACGGGCUAGCUAGAGUGCGGUAGGGGAGACUGGAAUUCCUGGUGUAGCGGUGAAAUGCGCAGAUAGUCAGGAGGAACACCGGUGGUGAAGGCGGGUCUCUGGGCCGAUACUGACGCUGAGGAGCGGAAAGCGUGGGGAGCGAACAGG
rnacentral:rRNA from 1 species